UUGGAGGGCAAGUCUGGUGCCAGCAGCCGCGGUAAUUCCAGCUCCAAUAGCGUAUAUUAAAGUUGUUGCAGUUAAAAAGCUCGUAGUUGAAUUUCGGGGUCAGUAGGUUGGUCAUGCCACUGGUAUGUACUGGCCUCACUGAUUCCUCCUUCCUGAUGAGCCGUAAUGCCAUUAAUUUGGUGUUGCGAGGAAUCUGGACUGUUACUUUGAAAAAAUUAGAGUGUUUAAAGCAGGCUAACGCUUGAAUACAUUAGCAUGGAAUAAUGAAAUAGGACGUUCGAUCUUAUUUUGUUGGUUUCUAAGAUUGACGUAAUGAUUAAUAGGGAUAGUUGGGGGCAUUAGUAUUCAAUUGUCAGAGGUGAAAUUCUUGGAUUUAUUGAAGACUAACUACUGCGAAAGCAUUUGCCAAGGAUGUUUUCAUUAAUCAAGAACGGAAGUUAGGGGAUCGAAGACGAUCAGAUACCGUCGUAGUCUUAACCAUAAACUAUGCCGACUAGGGAUCGGAUGAUGUUAAUUUUUUAAUGACUCGUUCGGCGCCUUACGGGAAAC
rnacentral:rRNA from 1 species